rnacentral:misc_RNA from 1 species
GAAAUGCGAUAAGUAAUGUGAAUUGCAGAAUUCAGUGAAUCAUCGAAUCUUUGAACGCACCUUGUGCUCCUUGGUAUUCCGAGGAGCAUGCCUGUUUGAGUGUCAUGGAAUUCUCAACUCUAUUUGCUUUUGUGAAUAGAGCUUGGAUUUGGAGGUUUAUUGCUGGUACUUGUGAUCGGCUCCUCUUGAAUGCAUUAGCUCGAACCUUUGCGGAUCAGCUAUCGGUGUGAUAAUUGUCUACGCCGUUGCAGUGAAGCAUAUCAAUGGGCUCGGCUUCCAAUCGUCCUUUACUGGACAAUGACUUUGACCUUUGACCUCAAAUCAGGUAGGAUUACCCGCUGAACUUAGGC